GACGAACGGUGCGAACGUUGUUCGGAAUCACUGGGCGUAAAGGGCGCGUAGGCGGCUUUAUAAGUCGGGGGUGAAAGCCUGUGGCUCAACCACAGAAUUGCCUUCGAUACUGUAGAGCUUGAGACCGGAAGAGGUAAGUGGAACUGCGAGUGAAGAGGUGAAAUUCGUAGAUAUUCGCAAGAACACCAGUGGCGAAGGCGGCUUACUGGUCCGGUUCUGACGCUGAGGCGCGAAAGCGUGGGGAGCAAACAGG
rnacentral:rRNA from 1 species